UCGAGUUCUUUGUCACUUGGUAUAAAUUCAGCAUGCAAUCGAGGCGCGAAAGCCCAGGCGUCGGCCCCUGCGAUCACGAUUGGCGCCAGUCCAGUAGCAGCCUCUCCCCUAUCUCCGAGCGAUGCGAAGCGGGCUGAGCCUUCAAAUCUUUCUAUAGGAAUGCGUCCAGUUCUUCGUAAAAUCCAGUCAGCGACACGCUUGUUUUUCAUCCACUCGUUCUCUCUCAAAUCGAACUCAACGCCCAUGAUUUCUCGACCUUUUCGCUUCUCCAGUUCCCUCUCUUCAAGCUCCCACACCUUUUUAGGCCCAACAAAUUGAAUCGGAGCAUUUUGGUUGUAGCUACAAAGUCGCAUUCACUGCAACAAUUGAGUACCAAAACAUUUUUGGCAUUCUGCUGCAACAAUAUCAGAACUUAGAAGUUACACGCAAUUGUAAUUUGUUGGUUUUGCUCGAUGUCUCGUAUUGAAGCUAUGCAGAAUCCGGAGGUGAUUUCGUAUCUGACACAGCGGGAAGCCGCUGAGGUUGAUGAGAUUCUCAUGGGUCCUCUCGGGUUCAGGUUGGCCAAUUGAUGAAGUUUGAUUCCAAAGCCAAAAUACUGGGGAGGAUAGAGGCUUAAACCAGAGCUUUUUGAGUUUAGGCAGGGGCAGCCAUCUGGGUUGCAUGACAGGUUGCAAUAUUCCCCUUGCGAGACGGACGGAAAAAAAAGUAUGGAAAGUAGAACGAUUAGCUCCCUGAUUGACUCCUCCAUCAUUCACGUACCUUCUUUUCUCUUUAGCCCCUUUUGUGUUUGACGUCAAAGUUGCUGUCUAAUAUUUGACUGUUGCAUAAUUUAUUGAACUAUUGCAAGUUUUACAACUUCCAUAAAACUAUAUGACAUGUUCAUGG